rnacentral:rRNA from 1 species
AUUGAACGCUGGCGGCAUGCUUUACACAUGCAAGUCGAACGGUAACAGCACUUCGGUGGCUGACGAGUGGCGAACGGGUGAGUAAUACAUCGGAACGUGCCUAGUAGUGGGGGGUAACUACUCGAAAGAGUAGCUAAUACCGCAUGAGAUCUAAGGAUGAAAGCAGGGGACCUUCGGGCCUUGCGCUACUAGAGCGGCUGAUGGCAGAUUAGGUAGUUGGUGGGAUAAAAGCUUACCAAGCCGACGAUCUGUAGCUGGUCUGAGAGGACGACCAGCCACACUGGGACUGAGACACGGCCCAGACUCCUACGGGAGGCAGCAGUGGGGAAUUUUGGACAAUGGGCGCAAGCCUGAUCCAGCAAUGCCGCGUGCAGGAUGAAGGCCUUCGGGUUGUAAACUGCUUUUGUACGGAACGAAAAGCCCUCUUCUAAUACAGGAGGGUCAUGACGGUACCGUAAGAAUAAGCACCGGCUAACUACGUG